rnacentral:lncRNA from 10 species
CUUGGUUUGCUUAUUUACAAAAUGACAAUAAAUACUUGUUCCACUUACAUCUCAGGAUCAUUAGGAGAUUCAAGAAAAAUAUCUACAUUGUUACAGAUUUAAUAUCUGUAUUUACAUGAAAAGACCUGAAAAGCACUUUGCAGAGAAAAAGACCACACGGAUCAGAAAGUUUGUAGGGGAAACUGUUUCUCUUUGUUUGUUUAAUGUGUAGCAAGCAUUAUUAAGUCAGAUUUGUGAAAAAUCAUGUUUGGAAGCUGAAAUAACAACCUCAAAUCUCUGAAAAGACUGAAAAGACAUUGCUUCUCCCUCCCUCAUGUCCUUCUCCGGUGCAAGCCACUCAAAAAAGAUUUAAUGUUUUAGAGAAAUAAACAUUUUGAUAAGGCUCUAGCAGACACUGUUGGUGUCUCAAAUGAAUUCCUGGAAAUCCCUUUUAUCUUCAGCUAUGGACACCCUUUUUCAACCUCUCCUGGAGGACUGCCUUGGGCUGUGGAACUGCUGCACUCAUGAGACCAGAAGAUGACUGACUGGUGCUGGAGCACAAAAGCCCUUGCCUCCUGGCAGACAGACUGUAACUUUGGCACCAGGAACUGGUUUUGUGGAAGACAAUGUUUUUUUUCAUGUGGGGCGGGGGUGGGGUGGGGAGCGCAUGAUCGCUCAUGCGCAGUUCACAAAUGGGCAGUUCACAGUAGGGUUCACGCUGCUAUGAGAAUCAAAUGUCCCGCUGAUCCGACAGGAGGUGAAGCUCAGGCGGUAAUGGCUGGCCUGUUGCUCACCUCCUGCUGUGCGGCCAGGCUCGCCACAGACCUAUAGGAUCUGCCGCCCGGGGCUGGGGACGCCUGCUCUAGAGCACUAGAUAUAAACAUCAAUCUGUGAUAUGUAUUUUAUGCUGCCAGAGGAAAAGAAAAGCACACUUAAGGCAAAGGUAA